rnacentral:lncRNA from 1 species
UACUCUGAGCCUCAGGUGGUGUUUGUUUCCAGGGACUUUUUUGGUGUAGGGACUAAAAAAAGUCCCAAAAAGUCCCAUGUGAAACAAACAGGAGGAACUUUUAGGGACUAAAGUGGGGUGUUUGGGACUAUUUGGAAAAGUACCUAUGUGAGGGACUUUUUGGGACUUUUUCCAACAAUGCCCCUACUUUUAGCAUGUAAUUUAAUAACUACUAUUACAUUACUAAGGAUAACAUGGUCUUUUUACAUGUCAUUUAAUGACCUCUAGUCCCUAUUUAGUCCCUGGAAACAAACGGGUAGGGACUAGGGACUUUUAAGUUAAGACUAGAAAAAGUCCCAGGACUUCUCAAACAAACAGGGCCUCAGUAGUGGAGUACUUUCACAUCGAAGCGGUGAGAAGUAAACAAUAUUGCAUUUAAGAGAUCGCACGUGCCGGUUAGAGAAGUAAAAUUGGAUUUUCACUCCUUCAAUCGGUUUUAAUGGAUCCGCAAGAGUUGCUUUAUAGCGAAUUUUAAGGCCCCUAUUAUUUUUCUAUAUCAUGCUAUUUUUUCCCUCUUAGCGCAAAAUAGAAUGAGAACUUUGUUUCGUUCAACAGUUAACAUGUGUAUGAUCUAUUAACUCCUCUCCGUGACUCAAUAUUGACUAUAUUUUCUUUGACUCUAAGUUCCACUGAUUGACAAAGCAAAGACUAUCUCAAGUGUCACGGCCUAAAGAAACUCAAAAUAAAGGGAAUCUUCAAUGUAAUAAUUGAUUGAAUGGAAACUCGAAAUGAUGCCCAAAUAAAAUGCAUACAACCAGCAAGGUUAAAUGCGUAGAAGCAUUGAUGAUUCACAUCAGACCCAAGUUAAUGGAAACAUGGUUGUUGCUUCACAUCAGAUCUGAGCUAAUGUGAUAGUACUUCUAUUCAAGUGUGAAAGAAUACUAUCCUUCUAUUUAACGCGAGAGGAAAUAUGGGAGAUGGUUAUCAGUCAUUCUUCGAACCUGAUCCGAGAAAGGAGUAGCGUCUAGCGCUUCACACCCCGUUGAUGUUUCUUUUGCAAUGUUGUGUGACAUCCUAGGACUUGGAAGCAUAAGGAUUGUAGAGUGCGUCAACUUAAGUUUAUACAUAACGUGGUGUCCUUCUAUUGGUCAGCUAAAUAUGGGCUCUUGGUCAAGUGUGUGGGUGUGUGUUGGUGACUAGACUAGCGUAUUCUCAGUGUAUUUCAUUGUGAUGUGGCAGUGUACCCAGUGCGUUGGGUCCCUCCUUGAGGAAUGGGGGAGAGGUGGCCUCCUGCUCUCAUGAUUCCCUACUGGUUGUUGGCCGACAUUUCCUCGUCUUGUUGUCGAUGUUGGUGUGGUGAAAUCCAGUAGACAUUUCUUCUCAAGAACGUGGCGAUGUUCGAAGCUACUAGCUCUAUCCAUAGGCGGUGAAGAUGAUUGAGAUAAUUUGAAGUUGUUUCUUGCAAGUAUAGUGUGAGUGUGGUUAGUUUACGAUCCAACGUCAACGACAUAGCACCAAGGGAAACAUUGCAGAAUGCUCUAGAACAGGGAAUACAUUUAAUUCAAAAAUACAAACACUCCAUAUUACUUGUAUAUUAGGUUUGAUUAUCUGAGAAUGCUUAUACGAUUACCGAGAGCUCAAACGAUAGUGUGUGAAUGUCCAUAUGUUUGUUAUGUCGGAUUAAGAUACACAAAAUCACAUCAAAUCAAAGUUCAAUGUAACAGUUUUUUUAUUUAGGCCUAACAUCAUAGCCAACUACUUAAACGUGAUAAGAAAGAUGAAACAUGCCGCAUACGGGCACGGCAGGGGCACGGUCAGCCCCGCA